UCGACCUCCUUUUCCGGUCUCUCUCUUCUCCAUGUGACACGAAGUUGGUCGGGGGUACGCGAGUUUGUACGUCUAAUCAUUGACAAAUGGAUAUGGUGCUUCAACCAACAGACCUAAGAAACCCAGAUCCGACCUGAGUUCAAUUCUAUGAAACUGAGGACAUUAUCAAGGAUCAGUGGAUACCAUGGGGUGACCCAAUGGAUUAAGUGAUGCCAUGGAGAUGACCCUGUCCAGCAAUGGAUUAGGAUUUCGCUGAGAUGAAGGACUGGGCUCCUACCCGAGGGUCCUUCAUGGGGUGGAAUCUCCGCGGCCAUCAACAGGUGACGUCCCUACCUGUGGCCUGUGCUGGCUGACCGUACCAUGUUCAUUGUGUUUAGAUCAGGGGGUGUCGAACUCCGGUCCUCGAGGGCCGCUGUCCUGCAUGUUUUAGAUGUUUCCCUGCUCC